AGGGUGAGUGAUGUAUAGGUAAUCUGCCCUUUGGACUGGGAUAACCCCGAGAAAUCGGGGACAAUGCCAGAUGAUGCAGCGGAACCGCAUGGUUAUGUUGUUAAAGAUUUAUCGCCAAAGGAUGAACCUAUAUCCCAUCAGGUAGUUGGUAAGGUAACGGCUUACCAAGCCUACGACGGGUAGUUGGUCUGAGAGGAUGAUCAGCCACAUUGGAACUGAGACACGGUCCAGACUCCUACGGGAGGCAGCAGUGAGGAAUAUUGCGCAAUGGGCGAAAGCCUGACGCAGCAACGCCGCGUGGAUGAUGAAGUUCUUCGGAAUGUAAAGUCCUUUUGUAGAGGAAGAAUAUCCCGGUUUACAGGGACUGACGGUACUCUACGAAUAAGCCACGGCUAACUACGUG
rnacentral:rRNA from 1 species